rnacentral:rRNA from 1 species
CAGCAGCCGCGGUAAUACAGAGGUCCCAAGCGUUGUUCGGAUUCACUGGGCGUAAAGGGUGCGUAGGUGGUCGGGUAAGUCUGAUGUGAAAUCUCGGAGCUCAACUCCGAAACGGCAUUGGAUACUAUCGGGCUGGAGGUUCGGAAGGAGGACUGGAAUUCUCGGUGUAGCAGUGAAAUGCGUAGAUAUCGAGAGGAACACCAGUGGCGAAGGCGAGUCCCUGGACGACACCUGACACUGAGGCACGAAAGCUAGGGGAGCAAACAGGAUUAGAUACCCUGGUAGUCCUAGCCGUAAACGGUGCAUAUUUGCUGUAAAAGGAAUCGACCCCUUUUGUGGCGAAGCUAACGCGUUAAAUAUGCCGCCUGGGAAGUACGGUCGCAAGAUUAAAACUCAAAGGAAUUGACGG